rnacentral:lncRNA from 1 species
ACUGUGUAACCUUCACUCUUCCAAGAGGAGGAACUCUUUGCAGAUCUGUUAGAAUCCUUCACACCUAUCUAACACAUAGAAUGUUAGGAACAGAAACAUUGCUGUGGAAGAAAUUAUUAAUGAGCUCGGAACAAAUCAUGGAGUUAGUUGACACCACCUUGUCCUUUUCAAGUGAAGUCUACUAUUAAUCGACAUAGUCUACUGGUUCUCUAUGUGCAGUUCUAGCAGGUAUUUGUAAUUAAUUUUAUUUGACUUUUAAAG